CCUACGGGUGGCAGCAGUCGAGAAUUUUUCUCAAUGGGGGCAACCCUGAAGGAGCGACGCCGCGUGGAGGAUGAAGGUCUUCGGAUUGUAAACUCCUGUCAUUUGGGAACUAGUACCAGAAGAGGAAGAGACGGCUAACUCUGUGCCAGCAGCCGCGGUAAUACAGAGGUCUCAACCGUUGUUCGGAUUCAUUGGGCGUAAAGGGUGCGUAGGCGGUCGCGCAAGUCGGAUGUGAAAUCUUAGGGCUCAACCCUGAAACUGCAUUCGAUACUGCGUGGCUCGAGUACUGGAGAGGAGACUGGAAUUUACGGUGUAGCAGUGAAAUGCGUAGAUAUCGUAAGGAAGACCAGUGGCGAAGGCGAGUCUCUGGACAGUACUGACGCUGAGGCACGAAGGCCAGGGGAGCAAACGGGAUUAGAUACCCUUGUAGUC
rnacentral:rRNA from 1 species